AGAGUAGAUGGUGGAUGCCUUGGGUAGUAGAGGCGAUGAAGGACGCACUAGACUGCGAUAAGCUACGGGGAGCUGUCAAGAAGCAUUGAUCCGUAGAUCUCCGAAUGGGGCAACCCAAUCCACAGCAAUGUGGAUUACUCUAUUUAUAGAGAGCGAACCUAGCGAAGUGAAACAUCUCAGUAGCUAGAGGAAAAGAAAUCAACGAGAUUCCCUCAGUAGUGGCGAGCGAAAGGGGAAAAGGGCAAACCGGGUGCUUGCACUCGGGGUUGAGGACGACAACAUUCAAGGGGUUUGUCUAGCAGAGUUGUUUGGAAAGACAAGCCAUAGAAGGUGAUAGCCCUGUAUGCGAAAGAUACACCCUAGAUAGUCGGAUCCAGAGUAGGCCAGGACACGUGAAAUCCGGGCUGAAGCCGGGGAGACCACUCUCCAACCCUAAAUACUACUACUACACCGAUAGCGCACAAGUACCGUGAGGGAAAGGUGAAAAGAACCGUGGGUAACGGAGUGAAAUAGAACCUGAAACCAUCUACUUACAAUCAUUCAGAGCCCUAUGAUUUAUCAGGGUGAUGGACUGCCUUUUGCAUAAUGAUCCUGCGAGUUGUGGUGUCUGGCAAGGUUAAGUGAAAACGAGCCGUAGCGAAAGCGAGUCUGAAUAGGGCGCUUUAAGUCAGACGCUGCAGACCCGAAGCCAAGUGAUCUAUCCAUGGCCAAGUUGAAACGAGUGUAACAGCUUGUGGAGGACUGAACCCGUGCCCAUUGAAACGGGCUGGGAUGAGCUGUGGAUAGGGGUGAAAGGCCAAACAAACUUGGUGAUAGCUGGUUCUCUUCGAAAUAUAUUUAGGUAUAGCCUCAAGUCAUAACAAGAGGGGGUAGAGCUCUGAUUGGGCUAGGGCUGCUCGCCGCAGUACCAAACCCUGUCAAACUGCGAAUACCUUUUGUUGUAUCUUGGGAGUCAGGCGGUGGGUGAUAAAAUCAAUCGUCAAGAGGGAAACAACCCAGACUACCAACUAAGGUCCCCAAGUUCUAUUCUGAGUGGAAAAAGAUGUGUGGUUACUCAAACAACCAGGAGGUUGGCUUAGAAGCAGCCAUCCUUUAAAGAAAGCGUAACAGCUCACUGGUCUAGUGAUCAUGCGCUGAAAAUAUAACGGGGCUAAGAUAGACACCGAAGUUGUAGAUUGCUCUUUUAGAGCAGUGGUAGAAGAGCGUUCUGUGCAGCACUGAAGGCAUACCGGUAAGGAGUGCUGGAGCGCACAGAAGUGAGCAUGCAGGAAUGAGUAGCGAUAAGAUACGUAAGAAUCGUAUCCGCCGUAAAUCUAAGGUUUCCUACGCGAUGUUCGUCAUCGUAGGGUUAGUCGGGUCCUAAGCCAAGUCCGAAAGGGGUAGGCGAUGGGAAAUAGGUUAAUAUUCCUAUACCAAUUAGGGUGUGCGAUGGGAGGACGCAUAAAGUUAGGUGAGCCAACGGAUGGAAGUGUUGGUCUAAGGGUGUAGAUUGGGAGAGAGGCAAAUCCGCUCCUGUAUUUGAAACCUGAAAGGCUCUUGGCGGUCUUCGGACCAAAGAGAGAAUCACUGAUACUAUCGUGCCAAGAAAAGUCUCUAAGUUUAGCCCUAAUUGUCCGUACCGCAAACCGACACAGGUAGAUGAGAUGAGUAUUCUAAGGCGCGUGGAAGAACUCUCUUUAAGGAACUCUGCAAACUAGCACCGUAAGUUCGCGAUAAGGUGUGCCACAGCAAUGUGGUCUCAGCAAAGAGUCCCUCCCGACUGUUUACCAAAAACACAGCACUUUGCCAACUCGUAAGAGGAAGUAUAAGGUGUGACGCCUGCCCGGUGCUCGAAGGUUAAGAGGAUGGGUUAGCCGCAAGGCGAAGCUUUGAAUUGAAGCCCGAGUAAACGGCGGCCGUAACUAUAACGGUCCUAAGGUAGCGAAAUUCCUUGUCGGUUAAAUACCGACCUGCAUGAAUGGCGUAACGAGAUGGGAGCUGUCUCAAAGAGAGAUCCAGUGAAAUUGUAGUGGAGGUGAAAAUUCCUCCUACCCGCAGCAAGACGGAAAGACCCCGUGGACCUUUACUAUAGCUUAGCACUGCUAAUGGGAAUGCCAUGCGCAGGAUAGGUGGGAGGCUUUGAAGUAAGGGCUUUGGCUCUUAUGGAGCCAUCCUUGAGAUACCACCCUUGGCGUUUUUGUUAGCUAACUGGCCUAAGUCAUCCUUAGGCAGGACAAUGCUUGGUGGGUAGUUUGACUGGGGCGGUCGCCUCCUAAAAAGUAACGGAGGCUUACAAAGGUUAGCUCAUGGCGGUUGGAAAUCGCCAGCUGAGUGUAAUGGCACAAGCUAGCUUAACUGCAAGAGAGACAACUCAAGCAGAGACGAAAGUCGGUCAUAGUGAUCCGGUGGUUCUCGUGUGGGAGAGCCAUCGCUCAAAGGAUAAAAGGUACCCCGGGGAUAACAGGCUGAUCUCCCCCAAGAGCUCACAUCGACGGGGAGGUUUGGCACCUCGAUGUCGGCUCAUCGCAUCCUGGGGCUGGAGCAGGUCCCAAGGGUAUGGCUGUUCGCCAUUUAAAGCGGUACGCGAGCUGGGUUCAGAACGUCGUGAGACAGUUCGGUCCCUAUCUGCUGUGGGCGUAGGAAAGCUGAGGAGAGCUGUCCCUAGUACGAGAGGACCGGGAUGGACAUGCCACUGGUGCACCAGUUGUUCUGCCAAGAGCACCGCUGGGUAGCUACGCAUGGUUGUGAUAAGAGCUGAAAGCAUCUAAGCUCGAAGCCAACUCCAAGAUGAGCUUUCCCUGAAGCUCGCAUGAAGACUACAUGUUUGAUAGGGUGGGUGUGUAAGUGCAGUAAUGCACUCAGCUAACCACUACUAAUAGAGCGUUUGGCUUGUUU
rnacentral:rRNA from 1 species